ensembl:lncRNA
AUGAGAUCCAGGUUUAGGUAUAGUAGUGUAGUAUUGUGGAGGAGUCUGAAUGGUAGAUCCAGGGUUAGGUAUAGUAGUGUAUUAUUGUGGAGGAGUCUGAAUGGUAGAUCCAGGGUUAGGUAUAGUAGUGUAGUAUUGUGGAGGAGUCUGAAUGGUAGAUCCAGGGUUAGGUAUAGUAGUGUAGUGGUGUGUACUGUGAAUGGUAGAUCCAGGGUUAUGUAUAGUAGUGUAGUGGUGUGUACUGUGAAUGGUAGAUCCAGGGUUAGGUAUAGUAAUGUAGUGGUGUGUACUGUGAAUGGUAGAUCCAGGGUUAGGUAUAGUAGUGUAGUAUUGUGGAGGAGUCUGAAUGGUAGAUCCAGGGUUAGGUAUAGUAGUGUAGUAUUGUGGAGGAGUCUGAAUGUUAGAUCCAGGGUUAAGUAUAGUAGUGUAGUAUUGUGGAGGAGUCUGAAUGGUAGAUCCAGGGUUAGGUAUAGUAGUGUAAUAUUGUGGAGGAGUCUGAAUGGUAGAUCCAGGGUUAGGUAUAGUAGUGUAGUAUUGUGGAGGAGUCUGAAUGGUAGAUCCAGGGUUAGGUAUAGUAGUGUAGUAUUGUGGAGGAGUCUGAAUGGUAGACCCAGGGUUAGGUAUAGUAGUGUAGUAUUGUGGAGGAGUCAAUGGUAGAUCCAGGGUGAGGUAUAGUGUAAGUGUGUGGAUGUACCCUCUGAACAGGUGUCUCCGGUCCACUCAUCAGGACAGAUACAGACUCCACUCUGCAGCUCACCACCAUUUAUACAGACCAGAGGAGGGGUUGUGGUGAUAGAGGUGGUGUUGGAGGUGGUGGGGAGACUGGUACUGGUGAUAGGGAUAGAGGUAGGGUAACCAGUAGUUGGAAGACCAGUAGUAUUUAGGGUUAUAGGGUCAUCAGUUGUUGGGUUUUUUAUGUCAAUGGUGGUUGGAAUGGCAGAGGAUGUGAUGAGAUCCUCCUGUGGAAAGGAGACUUUAAAAAAGAUAAUUAACUCUGUAAACAACAUAAACAAGGAUACAUAGUGUCAGUUCCUAUAAUCAUAGGAGAUGAUCCAUGCUGUUCCAGUUUCAUUGUGUCUGCAUCAGUGUAGAAAUGUUUUCUACUGUACUUUAUGUGAGAAAGAAGUCAUUAUCACUGCCAAUAAACGGCUGAUAGCAAAGGCUACUCUGUUAUCAACUGUAUUUAGGACCUGACUGUAGUCUAUUCACAGUAUGUAAACAACAACUUAACAAUACAUCUAAAUAGUGUUGGUAUAAAAAUAAAGUCUGAAACAAUGUCUUCACUGAUGCUACUGUAUCCCUUGCAGCAAACAGACAAAAUAUCAAUCAUUCAUUGACUAUAAAACUUCAAAAUUCAUAAACCAAACUGUAAAAACUGUUAGGUCAUAUAUUGGCAAUAAUCAUUUGUUAAGUUAAAUGCAUCAUACAUUUUUGCACAUCUGAAUUGAAAGCAAUUUUCCAACAUAAUUCUCAAUCACAGAAGACUCUUAACAACAACAUCAUAAGAGAUGACAUGGAAAGGGAUGCUGGCCCAUGUUGACUCCAAUGCUUCCCAAAGCUAUGUCCUGUUGAAGGACAGCCAUCUCUGUAGCACUCAGGCCUUUAUGGUAGAGUGGCCAGAUCCUUGAUGAAAACAUGAUCCAGAGCACUCAGGACCUCAGAUUGGGGUGAAGGUUCACCUUCCAACAGGACAAUGACCCUAAGCACACAGCCAGGACAAUGCAAGAGUGGCUUCAGGACAAGUCUCUGAAUGUCCUUGAGUGGCCCAGGCAGAGCCCGGACUUGAACCCGAUCGAACAUCUCUGGAGAGACCUGACAAUAGCUGUGCAGCAAGGUUCCUCAUCCAAACUGAAUGCGAGAAACUUCCCAAAUACAGGUGUACCACACUCAUAUCCAAGAAGACUCGAUGUUGUAAUCGCUGAUGCUUCAACAAAGUACUGAGUAAAGGGUCUGAACACUUAUGUAAAUGUCAUAUUUCAUUUUUACAUUUUUCAUAAAUUAGCAAAAAUGUUUUUGCUUUGUCAUUAUGGGGUAUUGUGUGUAGAUUUAAUCAAUCUAAAACAUUUUCGAAUAAGACUGUAACGUAACAAAAUGUGGAAAAAGUAAGGGGUCUGAAUCUUUUCUGAAAGCACUGUGUGUCAUGGAAAGUGCAUGUGUUCUUAAACCACCCUGAAUGGAUCAAAUAUAUAGCAAGUCUUACCUGUAGCAAAGACAACCAUAAUCCAUAGCUCUUUCAUUUCUGCUGUUUCCAGUCAUCCGGUGUCAUCAGACUGCACAUUAUUAGACCGUCUGUGGGUCUUAUGCUGCUCUCCUCCUGUCACAGAGACUGUAGUGACGUGCAGAUACCAGUUAAUGAUUUACUAUUGAAAUUAAGGGGGAAGUACUGUACAGUGGCUCCAACACAACUCACAUUGCCAACAGGAUCAGUAAAGACACACACAAGUAGAUCAGCUACAUGACUGGAUGAAUAAAAUGGUUACACAUGGAUGGAUACUGUGAGGACCAGUUAACCAAUAGCAUUACCCUUCUCUAUGCAACACAUUAUUGGUUGCAGCUGGGAAGGUACAGUACAUGUUUUGGUAAACAGAAACGUUUUUCCACUACAGCAUGUGUAAUUCGAUCUCCUGAUCAGAGGGGAAUAGUUUUAAACAAUGGAACUGGGUUGGAGUGUUGGAGGUCUGGAUUAGAA